UACGAAGGGUGCAAACGUUGCUCGGAAUUAUUGGGCGUAAAGCGCACGUAGGCGGCUUAGUAAGUUGGAUGUGAAAUCCCUCGGCUUAACCAAGGAAGUGCAUCCAAAACUACUGAGCUUGAGUACUAAAGAGGAUCGCGGAAUUCCCGGUGUAGAGGUGAAAUUCGUAGAUAUCGGGAGGAACACCAGUGGCGAAGGCGGCAUCCUGGACCAACACUGACACUGAGGAGCGAAAGCCAGGGGAGCAAACGGG
rnacentral:rRNA from 1 species